UACGAAGGGGGCUAGCGUUGCUCGGAAUCACUGGGCGUAAAGGGUGCGUAGGCGGGUCUUUAAGUCAGGGGUGAAAUCCUGGAGCUCAACUCCAGAACUGCCUUUGAUACUGAAGAUCUUGAGUUCGGGAGAGGUGAGUGGAACUGCGAGUGUAGAGGUGAAAAUUCGUAGAUAUUCGCAAAGAACACCAGUGGCGAAAGGCGGCUCACUGGCCCGAUACUGACGCUGAGGCACGAAAGCGUGGGGAGCAA
rnacentral:rRNA from 1 species